rnacentral:tRNA from 2 species
GCGGGAUUAGCCUAGUGGUUAAGGCCCCAGAUUGUGGAUCUGGUUAGACGGGUCCGAUUCCCGUAUCCCGCCCA